rnacentral:rRNA from 1 species
UGGGCGUAAGGGCUCGCAGGCGGUUUCUUAAGUCUGAUGUGAAAGCCCCCGGCUCAACCGGGGAGGGUCAUUGGAAACUGGGAAACUUGAGUGCAGAAGAGGAGAGUGGAAUUCCACGUGUAGCGGUGAAAUGCGUAGAGAUGUGGAGGAACACCAGUGGCGAAGGCGACUCUCUGGUCUGUAACUGACGCUGAGGAGCGAAAGCGUGGGGAGCGAACAGGAUUAGAUACCCUGGUAGUCCACGCCGUAAACGAUGAGUGCUAAGUGUUAGGGGGUUUCCGCCCCUUAGUGCUGCAGCUAACGCAUUAAGCACUCCGCCUGGGGAGUACGGUCGCAAGACUGAAACUCAAAGGAAUUGACGGGGGCCCGCACAAGCGGUGGAGCAUGUGGUUUAAUUCGAAGCAACGCGAAGAACCUUACCAGGUCUUGACAUCCUCUGACAACCCUAGAGAUAGGGCUUUCCCUUCGGGGACAGAGUGACAGGUGGUGCAUGGUUGUCGUCAGCUCGUGUCGUGAGAUGUUG